rnacentral:rRNA from 1 species
UUAAUAUUCCCGUACUUGGUGUUACUGCGAAGGGGGGACGGAGAAGGCUAUGUUGGCCGGGCGACGGUUGUCCCGGUUUAAGCGUGUAGGUGUGUGUUCCAGGUAAAUCCGGUUCACUUUAACACUGAGGCGUGACGACGAGGCACUACGGUGCUGAAGCAACAAAUGCCCUGCUUCCAGGAAAAGCCUCUAAGCAUCAGGUAACAUCAAAUCGUACCCCAAACCGACACAGGUGGUCAGGUAGAGAAUACCAAGGCGCUUGAGAGAACUCGGGUGAAGGAACUAGGCAAAAUGGUGCCGUAACUUCGGGAGAAGGCACGCUGACAUGUAGGUGAAGUGAUUUACUCAUGGAGCUGAAGUCAGUCGAAGAUACCAGCUGGCUGCAACUGUUUAUUAAAAACACAGCACUGUGCAAACACGAAAGUGGACGUAUACGGUGUGACGCCUGCCCGGUGCCGGAAGGUUAAUUGAUGGGGUCAGCGCAAGCGAAGCUCCUGAUCGAAGCCCCGGUAAACGGCGGCCGUAACUAUAACGGUCCUAAGGUAGCGAAAUUCCUUGUCGGGUAAGUUCCGACCUGCACGAAUGGCGUAAUGAUGGCCAGGCUGUCUCCACCCGAGACUCAGUGAAAUUGAACUCGCUGUGAAGAUGCAGUGUACCCGCGGCAAGACGGAAAGACCCCGUGAACCUUUACUAUAGCUUGACACUGAACAUUGAGCCUUGAUGUGUAGGAUAGGUGGGAGGCUUUGAAGUGUGGACGCCAGUCUGCAUGGAGCCGACCUUGAAAUACCACCCUUUAAUGUUUGAUGUUCUAACGUGGACCCGUUAUCCGGGUUGCGGACAGUGUCUGGUGGGUAGUUUGACUGGGGCGGUCUCCUCCUAAAGAGUAACGGAGGAGCACGAAGGUUGGCUAAUCCUGGUCGGACAUCAGGAGGUUAGUGCAAUGGCAUAAGCCAGCUUGACUGCGAGCGUGACGGCGCGAGCAGGUGCGAAAGCAGGUCAUAGUGAUCCGGUGGUUCUGAAUGGAAGGGCCAUCGCUCAACGGAUAAAAGGUACUCCGGGGAUAACAGGCUGAUACCGCCCAAGAGUUCAUAUCGACGGCGGUGUUUGGCACCUCGAUGUCGGCUCAUCACAUCCUGGGGCUGAAGUAGGUCCCAAGGGUAUGGCUGUUCGCCAUUUAAAGUGGUACGCGAGCUGGGUUUAGAACGUCGUGAGACAGUUCGGUCCCUAUCUGCCGUGGGCGCUGGAGAACUGAGGGGGGCUGCUCCUAGUACGAGAGGACCGGAGUGGACGCAUCACUGGUGUUCGGGUUGUCAUGCCAAUGGCACUGCCCGGUAGCUAAAUGCGGAAGAGAUAAGUGCUGAAAGCAUCUAAGCACGAAACUUGCCCCGAGAUGAGUUCUCCCUGAGACUU